rnacentral:lncRNA from 1 species
UCAUAUUCAUCACAUCAUAUACAUUCAUCAUAUAACAACAUAAACAACACAACAUAAAUAUCAUCUCAUAACGACAUAAACAACACAUCAUAAACAUCAUCUUAUAACAACAUAACAUCACAUCAUAAAAAUCAUCGCAUAACAACAUAAUCAUCACUUCAUAAAAAUCAUCGCUUAACAAUAUCAUAAUCAAUAUCAUAAAUAACAUCAUAACAACAUCAGAAUCAAUAUCAUAAACAACAUAGCAACAUACAUCAUAUAAUUCACAUCAUAAAUGUAAC